CAGAGUUGAAAAACUCCCAAACCCUUGUGAACAUACCUAACGUUGCUUCGGCGGUGCGGCCCUAGGCCGCUGCCUCCCUGUGAGGCGCCCGCCGGAGGUUUACAAACUCUAUGUAUUAUAUUGUCUUCUCUGAGUUGUCUUUUAAAUAAGUCA
rnacentral:misc_RNA from 1 species